CUUGUGGUCAAGGUGGAAGGGGGAAUCCAUUCUUCACCAUGGGUGUUAUGCCCUUGACUCCUGACUGACAGAACCUUCUCCAGCAGUCACUGUAUUUUGACUACAGCGUGGUGAAACGUUUAGCUAAGGAAACAGAAAAACAAGAAACAACCCCCUCCACUCCUGAGGCAAUAAAAUCAUCAUCAAUUCACUGGGACGAAUAAGUUUAUUCUCGCCAAAGAACAAGUUAUUAAGGAUCCGCUGCAAAUAUCUGUCAGGAGAGCCCUCUCUGAUGAGCCACAUGCGAGAUUCCUGCACAUUUCACCACAAGGACUCCAGAGAACCCAGCACCCAUGGCUAAAGGGCAAGGUUUCGGCUUUAGGGAAAUACUAAGCGACUAGGCGCAGAGCCACAGGAUGAGCCACAGCAAGGGUCAGGCUAGUACAAGGUUAUACACCAACAGAACACAGACUGUCCCCUUCUUCCUUCCAUGACCAGCUCAUGAAAUUCUAGUUGAAAUACUGAAA